ACAGGUGGGCCUUGGGGUGCUCUUCCCUCAGCGCCCCGGCGUUUCCCCUCCGCGCGGAGCGGUGCCCCCAGCCCCCCGGGGCCGCCUGCGCUCCCGGCUCGGCCCCGCCGGCGCCUCGGCGUAGGGCGGGGGGCUGCGGCCGGGGGCGAGCUCCCCUUGCCCAGCGCUCCCGCCGAAGCUGUAACGGCCCUUCCAGGGUAUCUUCAUUCUGUGAAGAUGGAAGUAUGCACCCUCUCAACAAGCAAUGCAGAAUACAGAAGAGCUGGAUAAGAGAAAUCAAGCUGAAGAUGAGCUUUUGUAAAGAGACACAGAAAGAGAAGAAAGUGCCUUGAAUACCAAAGGUCAGGAUACAAUGGGAUGUGAAGAGAAAAGGAGAAUUUGCGAUUCAGGUGUCUUUCUGAAAUUCAAAAGGAGAAGAGGUUAGAAAUAAGCCUGAAGUGGAAUGAAAGUUUGUAAGAGAACAGAAAAUACCUACUGAGAUACUGACUUAAAGUGGAAGGCCGCUGAAUAAGUGUGUAGCUGUAUAUAUGUCAGAGAAAAAGCCCUUUCUCUAUUCUUUGUGUGCUGUUUACAUUCUGAUCUGUGCUCUUUCUUUAAAAUACUGAUUUCAAAGUAAAACAUGAACUGUUUUUGUCUGUUUCUGUCUUUAUGCUUUUGUCUUUCUUUUCAGAUGACUUGGGAUGAACCCUACUAACUGCAAGUACAAUUUUGCUGUUUCUUGAAUGGAGAAGCCAAAAGAAUUGUGAUGCAGAUGAUUCCUAAAGGAGUAAUAAAUUUACAUUUGCAUUCAGAAAAUUAGCCACUUUUCUGGAAUGGCUGUAGGAAUGGAAUGUAGGAAAGACUUGCUGGGUAGGAACAUGAGCAGGAUGGUAAAGCUCUUCCCGAAAGAAGGACCUCAUGUCUUCCUGCGGAGCCAAUAGCAGAUCAAGGAAACUUAAGACUUAUGUCUGUAAACUGGACUCUGGCUGUCAGGGGAGAGGCAUCUUCAUCACCAAAUCUGUGAAGGACAAAAAACCGGGACAGAAUAUGAUCUGCCAACUCUACACCUCAAGGGGAACGCCCCAAGAAAAGAACAGAACUCCAUGAAAAUCUGGAGAAAUUAAUCAGAGAUGGAGGGGAGGACACAUGGAGCCUCUGGCCUGGUGAAAAAGAAAGUAGGAAGUUCAGAUCCUCUUGAGCAGGAGGUGAAUCAUUCUCCAAAAGAAGCAAAGAAGGGGAUUGAUAGUAGGGAAUCCAGCAUUCUACAAUAAGAACAGCCCAGGACAGACAAGUAUGGAAGUGAAAGCAAAGGUGACUCGAAGACAUUUUUAAUUCUUGGAAUAAUUGUUGGUUUGUGUGACCUCCACUAUAAACUAAAGAAGUCUUAGAGAUGCUCAAGCAUUUACGUUCUGGCUACAGUGGGUAGCCAUGGUUUCAUGAGGACAUGAAUGAUGCAUUAGGGAAAGUUUCGAGGUUUUCCUACCAGAUCCAAGGGUCAGUCCCCUGCCUUCACCUCCUGGGAUCACCAGGACCGGACCCCCAUGGCUUUCUCCAGGAUAAAUCUUCUGGAAAGAAGAAAAGGGAAGAAAAUGAAACCAAAAUAAAGCACAAGUUAAAUGUGGAUGUGGUCCCAUCUGGGCCGUUCAAUGUAAUUCAGGCACCACAGAAAGCAAGCAAAAAAAGUGAAACAGAGUUCUUAACUGAUUUUAUACUUAUUUCUCUGCUUUGCAGUGUCAUCUCACUACUUUGGUGGUUUAUUUUUUUUCAUUUUGGCAUGCAUUAAUAAAGAAAU